rnacentral:sRNA from 1 species
AGUUAGCAAAAAGUGCGUUAGCGAUUGAAAUGACAUCCUUUUUGCUUUUUCUGCAAAAAGAUAUAAUGGAAAGCGCGACUUUGU